UAAGAUUGGAGCAAGUACAGUAUCUGUCUGCCCCCUAGUGUAAGAGCACUCGCUGCCUAAAAUUCAACUUUAAAAGAAAAGGAGCUCUUAAAGGGAAACGACUUUGGGCUCAUGUAGGCAUAGGAGAAUGAAACUUCUGUACAUUUUAAUCUGAAUAAUUCUUCAGGAUUUAGAAUUAGUUGGCUCUGUCUUGGUUGGACUGUACUUGGAUCUCGCCGCCUCUACGAUUCCUGAGUCACUGGUGAAGAGGAUCAACAUAAGGAAUAUUCAACAAAGAAGUUUCUAAGAAAAUCAACAACCUUGGAAGAAUUACCAGCCACAUACAUCAAGGGCCAUGAGGUGAACAGGCCUCUGCUCCUUGCUCCCCACUAUGAUAUACUAUGUCAUCACAGGCCCAAAGCAGCAGCACCAGGGGAUCAUGGACUGACACUUUUGAAACUGUGGCAUUUCCACAGGGUCUGGUCCUUUGUGCAGCACUUUUGUACCAGCGACGUUCCCUGGGGCUGCUGGACUUCGUGGGACAACUGGGCAUCGGUCAGAAGACAAGAAAAGAAGCCCUGCUUCCCCUCUGUGACUUCACUCAGCCAGGAAGUGACAAGGCCAGAAAUGAUAGGAUGGGACCUUGCUAUGAGGCUUCCAAGGCAGCUGCUGUCUUGCAGACCCCCUGCACUUCUCCUGCAGCAGAUGGGAGGAACAGCCUGCAGAAGAGUGGAAGGUGGCCAAAAAUAACAGUGUUUUCCUGAUGAGGGCGAGAUGAGAGCCAAGAUCAUCAUUGGGCUCUGAUCUGUUUUAUCCUAGCAGCAAGUGGUCCAGCACAGAGCCACAGGACAUCAGGUACACAGUGCCCAUCAUCUCUACCAGAUAACAGGUUGAUGCUUCCCUGAGAAUGGCUUGCUGCAAUCCCAAGACUUUCAAAUGAGAGACAAGAGCCAAGUCAUGGAGAAUGUGCUUGCUGCUUGCAAGAAACUCAACAAUUAAACGUGCAGAUAAGACCACGUACUCUGAAGCAGAACUUAUGGAGAUCUUGGAAGACUGAGUCAUUCUCUUACCCUACCUCCUGCAAUGUAUAUCCAAGGACCCACUGAUGUGGGGAUGCUAAGGAGUAAGUCCACUCAUCCCCAUAACUCAAACCCAGCAGCCACAAGACCAUCUGUGACCUCUGUGAUAACAGCUUUGUGACUAAGCACCUUCAGUCUUGUGGACUCUGCUAAUAUUGGUUCUGCACAGGAAGUGGGAGGCAGCUGAAGACUUCUUGCUGAGAGUGACACCUUGCAAGACAGGCAGAGCAAAGGGCUUCUGACAGGUGGUAUGUUUGAUUUCAUGGGCCAGGUUUGUGGCAGUUGACAGAAGUCUUUUUUAUGAAGACAGAGGAUUUCUCCAUUGCCAUUUACACCUCAUCUCUGGGACUAGAGCUGUAUCAAAGUACACUCACAACUACAGUGAAUGAAUUUCACAAAGAUCGGUAAGGAGUUUUCCAGAUGGACAAUGUUGGAAACACACCUCCUACCUAAAGGGAACAUUGUGCAAUAUGAGACAUGAGGACUUACAAAAAAGUCACAAGAUUUUGCCCAACGUUGUGCCUUUUCCACCCAAAAUGUGGACAAAACUUGAACAAGGACCAUGCAUGCUUUGAUAAGCCACCUUUGUAUCAAAUAGGCUACAUCCAGUCUGCUCAGAGUGAUAUCGUGGAUGACAACAAGGAAUGUACUCCAGUUGGAACAAGACAGUUCACUUCUCCCUGUAACAUGGAGUCAGCAGGCUAUGUGUGUACAAGCAAAAUUGUCUGGCACCUGUGCAAGUGUUGGGUGAAAGAAGAACUAGAGAGAAUGCUACAUAGAAAUAUUUUGUUUUAGUGUGCAAUAUUUGAUAUUUUGGGCAUUCCUCCCUUUUCUGUACAAAUUUAUGCUCUUAAAAGGUCUGUUUUGGGCUGGAGAGAUGGCUUAGCAGUUAAGACACUUGCCUACAAAGCCAAAGGACCCAGGUUUGAUUCCCCAGGACCCAUGUUAGCCAGAUGCACAA